UUUAGGGUUUUGAAAAAUUAUUUCUGGCGGCAUUUUCACCGCGCAACCGGAGUUUAAGCCUGAAAAGGGCUCCCGUAGGAUAUUUUUUUUUUUUUUUUCCUGUUGACUCGGCUAAGCUUCUUGCUGGGGUAAUGGGCAGGCACAGAAGUCCCUGCGUGCGUGUGCUGGUGUGUACAGUGCUCAGCAGAGUCCUGAGCUGCAGAACUCUCGUCCUUGGAAGAUAACUGUGUGGCACAAUAAAUGGGUGGGAAGGGACCCAUUUCUGCUUCCAACCCCCUGCUUACAAACAUUUAAGUAAAUGUGCACCACAUGCUGCAAUUUGUUUGGAUAUCUCUCCUGUGUUUUCACAUUCUGUAUCCAGUGGGAUAACACUCUCCAGCAUCUUAAGAAACAGACUACUGCAGGACUUGAAGAUGAAUGAACACUGGCUGUGUCUUCUGCAUUUGAUGGUGACAGGAUCUUCUGGUUAAGGGACCACAGUCCCCAUAUGAGAAUAUUGGUG